rnacentral:rRNA from 1 species
UACAGAGGUGGCAAGCGUUGUUCGGAAUUACUGGGCGUAAAGGGCGCGUAGGCGGUCUUGCAAGUCCCGUGUGAAAUCCCUCGGCUCAACUGAGGAACUGCACGGGAAACUGCUUGGCUUGAGUUCGGGAGAGGGAAGCGGAAUUCCGGGUGUAGCGGUGAAAUGCGUAGAUAUCCGGAGGAACACCGGUGGCGAAGGCGGCUUCCUGGACCGACACUGACGCUGAGGCGCGAAGGCGUGGGGAGCGAACGGG